GAUGAACGCUAGCUACAGGCUUAACACAUGCAAGUCGAGGGGUAACGAGAGGAAAGCUUGCUUUCCUUGUCGACGACCGGCGCACGGGUGAGUAACGCGUAUCCAACCUGCCCCCAACUAGGGAAUAACCUUGCGAAAGUAAGACUAAUACCCUAUAAUUUCCUCAGAUGACAUCUGACGAGGAAUAAAGAUUUAUCGGUUGUGGAUGGGGAUGCGUCUGAUUAGCUUGUUGGCGGGGUAACGGCCCACCAAGGCAACGAUCAGUAGGGGUUCUGAGAGGAAGGUCCCCCACAAUGGAACUGAUACACGGUCCAAACUCCUACGGGAGGCAGCAGUGAGGAAUAUUGGUCAAUGGGCGGAAGCCUGAACCAGCCAAGUAGCGUGCAGGAUGACGGCCCUAUGGGUUGUAAACUGCUUUUAUACAGGAAUAAAGUUAGCCACGUGUGGUUAUUUGUAGGUACUGUAUGAAUAAGGACCGGCUAAUUCCGUGCCAGCCGCCGCAGUAA
rnacentral:rRNA from 1 species